UAACACGGGGGGAGCAAGCGUUGUUCGGAAUCACUGGGCGUAAAGGGAGUCUAGGCUGUCAGGUAAGUGAGACGUGAAAUGCCUCGGCUCACCCGAGGAGCUGCGUCUCAUACUGCUUGGCUUGAGUACGGGAGAGGAUGAGGGAAUUCCUGGUGUAGCGGUGAAAUGCGUAGAUAUCAGGAGGAACACCGGUGGCGAAGGCGCUCAUCUGGCCCGAUACUGACGCUGAAGCUCGAAAGCUAGGGGAGCAAACGGGAUUAGAUACCCCGGUAGUCCUAGCCGUAAACGGUGAUCACUAGGUGUUGGAGGCAUCGACCCCUCCAGUGCCGCAGCUAACGCAUUAAGUGAUCCGCCUGGGGAGUACGGCCGCAAGGUUG
rnacentral:rRNA from 1 species